UCUUGCUUGUUUGUAGGUGACCAAAUACUUAUUUUCCACCAUAAUUUGCAAAUAAAUUCAUUAAAAAUCCUACAAUGUGAUUAUCUGGAUUUUUUCCCACAUUUUAUCUGUCAUAGUUGAAGUUUACCUAUGGUGACAAUUACAGGCCUCUCAUCUUUUUAAGUGGGAGAACUUGCACAAUUGGUGGCUGACUAAAUACUUUUUUUGCUCCUCUCUAAGUACAUUUUUAGAAUAAGGCUGUAACGUAGCAAAAUGUGGAAAAAGUCAAGGGGUCUGAAUACUUUUCGAAUGCAAAAACACUUUAAAGUACUACUUAAAUCAGUUUUUGGGGGUAUCUGUAAUUUCCAUGACAAAUAUAAGGACAAAUAUAAGCACCCACCUAAUUUACUAUUAUUAUAAAAGCAAGCUCAUGCAGGACAAAAUAUAUUCUAAUGAUGGGAGCCUACUUGGAAACUGAAAUAGAUUUGAAACAUUAAUUUGCAUAAUGCAUCUGCUCCGCUGCUCUAAGAGUGUUUAUAUCCCUGUGAGUUUAACACUUCAUGACUGAGUGCUGUUCUUCAUGACAACAGAACCCACAACAACCAUGACUUUUAUCACCAUCUUCAUCUGGACACUUGCUUUCUGCUUUCAAGAAUCCAGAGGACAGUACGUUGUGACACAGACUCCUGCAGUGAAAGCUGUUCUCCCAGGACAGACAGUCUCUCUGAACUGUAAAACCAGCAGUAAUGUAUACAACAAUAACUACCUAGCCUGGUACCAACAGAAACCUGGAGGAGCUCCUGAACUCCUUAUUUACUCUGCUACAAGACUUCAGUCUGGGACUCCAUCUAGAUUCAGUGGCAGUGGAUCUGGGAGUGACUUCACUCUGACCAUCAGUGGAGUCCAGGCUAAAGAUGCAGGAGAUUACUACUGUCAGAGUUACCACUACAUCAAUAGUAAAAAUGUGUUCACACAGUGAUACAGCGACGUACAAAAACCUCCCUCAGUCAGACUGCACAGUGACUGUACUGAUACAGCUGGGACCUACUGCAGGUGCUGAGGGGGAAGAGACAGUGACAUGGAACACUGACUGAACUAAAAUACACUGAGAUAAAUAUAUCAGUGAUGCUGACUAUAAUGUCAACUUAUCCACCUUCAUGUUAAAUCAUUCCUGAACUGACAACACCCAUACGUCCAGACUAGAUAAAUAUGCCUUCCCUUUUGCUGUGGCUAACAAACCUUUUAUUAACAUUUCAGACAAUAAAUUGAAUAGACUCCAUCUAUGUGAAGUAAUAAUGUCUCACAUAAUUUCAGAAUAAGUAUCCCAGUCUCUGUUAGGCCCCUAUAUUGGCUCGUGCAUUUCAAGUUAAGAUUGAACUAUAUUUACUGAGAUCAUAUAACAUGAUUAUGACCCAUAAUAACAACCUGAGGUUCUGUCAUACAAGAGACAGUGACAUGGAACACUGGUUAGUGAAGUCAACUUUGA